rnacentral:rRNA from 1 species
UAUCUCUGUAGAGUCUGCAUAUCAAUAAGCGGAGGAAAAGAAACUAACUAGGAUUCCCUUAGUAACGGCGAGUGAAGCGGGAAGAGCUCAAAUUUGAAAUCUUCAAGGUUUUACCUUAGACGAAUUGUAGUUUAAAGAAGUGUUUUCUGUUGGUGUUUUGGUAAAAGUUCAUUUGGAAUAGGACAUCAUAGAGGGUGAGAAUCCCGUAUUUGACCAUUACUUCCAGCGUUGUGAUACACUUUCAAAGAGUCGGAUUGUUUGGGAAUGCAGUCCAAAAUGGGUGGUAAAUUUCAUCUAAAGCUAAAUAUUGGCGAUGAGACCGAUAGCGAACAAGUACCGUGAGGGAAAGAUGAAAAGAACUUUGAAAAGAGAGAUUAAACAGUACGUGAAAUUGUCGAAAAGGGAAGCGUUUGACACCAGUGUUGUUUUCUCGAAAAUCAAUUAAAAAAAGUUGGAUUUUGUAUUGUUAAGACCUUAUCAGCUUACUGUACUCUUUUCUUGCUUUUUUUAAUGCACUUUUCGUUUAACAAGUCAACAUCAAUUUCUUUUGUUGUAAAAGAGUCAUUGGAAGGUGGCUUUCACUUCGGUGAAAGUGUUUAUAGCCUUUGGCUUCUGCAAUCGGAGAGAUUGAGGUCUGCAGCGUAGAUCCUUCGGGGCUAGAUACGUAGAUGCUAAGUUAUAGUUUUUUAUAGACAACUUGUUGACUAUAAUUAGUCAUGUAGCUUACUCGUUUGCGCUAUUUUACCUACGCUUAGGAUGUUGACGAUCAGCUGAGCGCG